rnacentral:rRNA from 1 species
AUUGAACGCUGGCGGCAUGCCUAACACAUGCAAGUCGCACGAGUGGCGGACGGGUGAGUAAUGUCUGAGAAACUGCCCGAUGGAGGGGGAUAACUACUGGAAACGGUAGCUAAUACCGCAUACCAUCGGAUGUGCCCAGAUGGGAGUAGCUAGUAGGUGGGGUAAUGGCUCACCUAGGCGACGGUCCCUAGCUGGUCUGAGCGGAUGACCAGCCAAACUGGAACUGAGACACGGUCCAGACGCCUACGGGAGGCAGCAGUGGGGAAUAUUGCACAAUGGGCGCAAGCCUGAUGCAGCCAUGCCGCGUGUAUGAAGAAGGCCUUCGGGUUGUAAAGUACUGUCAGCGGGGAGGCGUUACCCGCAGAAGAAGCACCGGCUAACUCCGUGCCAGCAGCCGCGGGAAUUC